CUGACUUCGUUCACAGCUUCAGUACCAAAGGUAGCUUGUGGAGGGUAUCACGGCCUCGCAGGUGAAGGUCACAGCGGUGGCAUCUGUGCUAACACCCCUGGCAUCCCACGAGCUCUGGUGCUACAGGCACACAGCCCUGUGCUCACAGGAGAGCAGGCAUUCAGCAGAGCCGGUCAGGGUGUUCCAGCUGGGCAACCUCACACCUCAAAGGAGCUGUCAACACUACAGUGAAGAGCUAGAGAAAUCUGGGGAGUGACAGCAUGAGUUGUGGGUGCUUCAAGGUCAAGGAAGAAAAAGAGGGCUCUAGUGUCCCCAGCAGCGUUCCUGUUCUCCUUGUGGAAAUCACUACUACAACCAAAAGAGUAAAUUCCAAACUGAAAGAGAUCUGUAACCCCCGCCAAAACAGGCAGGAUAUAACUUCAGGCAGCAUUUUGACUCUUCAGCUAAACUGCUCCCUUCACAUGCCAUUCAUUCAUUCAACUGGAGCAAAAGAAGGGAAAGGCAGGCCCUCUGUCUUUCAGAAGCUCAACCCUGGCUUUACUGAUUUCCACAGCAGGUAUUUUCCCAGUUAAUCCUCUUCACUGUAAUUCACAUAAGUAAAAUAAAUACUCUGCAGAGGAAA